rnacentral:rRNA from 1 species
CUCAUGGUUUCACGGUAUUGCAAUGAGAACAAUUUAAAACCCUUAGCGAGAAUCAAGUGGAGGACAAGUCUGGUGCCAGCACCCGCGGUAAUUCCAGCUCCACUAGCGUAUAUUAAAGUUGUUGCAGUUAAAAAGCUCGUAGUUGAACCUCUGUCUGGGGCUAGUUUUGGCUUUGGUCAGGCUAGUUCUAGGCAUCCGCCUACAAGACUUAGAGGGCAUUCAGUUGUUCACUAGGAGGAGUAGGCAUUUUACUUUGAAAAAAUUAGAGUGUUUAAGGUAGGUAAUUGCCUGUAUAUAUUAGCAUGGAAUAAUAGAAUAGGACACUUUUCCAUUUUGUUGGUUAUUGGAAUCGUGUAAUGAUUAAUAGGGACAGUUGUGGGCAUUUGUAUUUAAUUGUCAGAGGUGAAAUUCUUGGAUUUAUUAAAGACAAACUAACGCGAAAGCAUUUGCCAAGGAUGUUUUCAUUAAUCAAGAACGAAAGUUAGGGGAUCAAAGAUGAUCAGAUAUCGUCCUAGUCUUAACUAUAAACUAUUCCGACUCAAUGUUUGACUGGUUUAUAUAACCAGUUGAGCGUUGUAUGAGAAAUCAAAGUCUUUAGGUUCUGGGGGGAGUAUGGUUGCAAAGCUGAAACUUAAAGGAAUUGACGGAAGAGCACAACCAGGAGUGGAUUCUGCGGCUUAAUUUGACUCAACACGGGGAAACUUACCAGGUUAAAACAAUAGUGGGAUUGACAGUUUGAGAGCGCUUUCUUGAUUGGUUGGGUGGUGGUGCAUGGCCGUUCUUAGUUGGUGGAGUGAUUUGUCUGCUUAAUUGCGUUAACGAACGAGACCUUAACCUGCUUACUAGACUGGCGAUCAUUAAUCGUUAGUUCUUCUUAGAGGGACUUUGGUUGUUUUAACUCCAAGGAAGUUUGAGGCAAUAACAGGUCUGUGAUGCCCUUAGAUAUCCUGGGCCGCACGCGUCAUACAAUGACUAGUUCAGAAAGUUUUCUCCUGACCCGAAAGGGGAUGGGUAAUCUUGAUAAUACUAGUCGUGUUAGGGAUCGAUCUUUGCAAUUAUAGAUCUUGAACGAGGAAUUCCUAGUAAGUGCGGUUCAUUAGACCGUACUGAUUACGUCCCUGCUCUUUGUACACACCGCCCGUCGCUUCUACCGAGUGGGUGGUCCGGUGAGAUAAUUGAACUUCGCAGGUAACUGAGAGGAAAGAUUAUCAAACCUAUCCACCU